GAGAAACAGGGGGAGGUUGGAGGGGGUUGCCGCUUGAUGAAUAGAGCCAGUGACUUCUCUUUUUGCACUUCUGAGCUCAUCUAUGGUUCUGCUGGACUCUCACCGGCUGUCCUUCACAUCUGGCCAUCUGAAGCAGCUCCCAUCCCACUCACGGCUGACUGAUCUGACUGUACUGAAAAACUUGUUCUGUGGCCAUGAAAACUACAUGUGGGCAUCCCAGACUACAUCUCUAAAACACAGACAGAUCCCUUGUCUCCCUGGACUACAUUUCCCAUGUUCCUCCUGUUCUCCACACCUGCACU